GAUGAACGCUAGCUACAGGCUUAACACAUGCAAGUCGAGGGGCAGCACAAGGCAGCAAUGCUGAGGUGGCGACCGGCGCACGGGUGCGUAACGCGUAUCCAACCUUCCCGUUACUCUUGGAUAGCCUUCCGAAAGGGAGAUUAAUACAAGAUGGUGUUGAAAUUCCGCAUGUUAUUUCAACUAAAGAUUUAUCGGUAACGGAUGGGGAUGCGUGACAUUAGAUAGAUGGCGGGGUAACGGCCCACCAUGUCCACGAUGUCUAGGGGUUCUGAGAGGAAGGUCCCCCACACUGGAACUGAGACACGGUCCAGACUCCUACGGGAGGCAGCAGUGAGGAAUAUUGGUCAAUGGCCGGAAGGCUGAACCAGCCAAGUAGCGUGAAGGAUGAAGGUUCUAUGGAUUGUAAACUUCUUUUAUACGGGAAUAAAACCUCCCACGUGUGGGAGCUUGUAUGUACCGUAUGAAUAAGCAUCGGCUAACUCCGUGCCAGCAGCCGCGGUAACAC
rnacentral:rRNA from 1 species